UGCUGACUAAAUUAUUUGUAUUCGGGCACAACCCUAAUCUCUACUCUCUUCUGGUCUCAUUUCUUUAGGAGCUACUACACAAUCUUGUUAAGAUGCUCCAGAUGCUCACUGACACACAAACAGGAUUAUUCCUCCUCCUGCUUUAACUUCUUUAUCACCUGGCUGCUAUGAAAUCUCUCUAAAGUUUGUUUUUCUUUUUGCAUAAAGUUUGUAAGCCCAUUUUUUAUCCAAGGCUUUUUAUUAUAACCACGUUUAUGUUAACAUGGUGUUGUUGGACAAUGUUUAUCAUACAAUGAUAAGUCAUAUAUUUAUCAUAUAUUUCAUAUUAAUCAUACAUUGCAAACACAGUUAAAUAGUCGCUUAAUGUUGCACAAAUGGAGGUUUUUCUACUGGGCUUGGUGAUCAAUAGGUAUAGCCCUCUUCUAUAUAAUGCAUCCAGAAAAUCUGAUGUUUUAUGUUUAGAUACAUUUAGGAGGUCAAUAUUAAAUAAAUCUCCACAGAUUGCAGACAUUUUAUUUUCAUUAAUUCUUUCAAACUAUCUUAAAAUGUUUCUACAUGUGACCCCGAUGUUCUGUAUACACAAGUACAUUCCUCAUCCCUCUUGCUUCAGUUUCCAUGGUUAUCCAUUAAAUCACCAAUUACAGUUGUCAUAUAUUCGACUGGUUUGCAUUUCAAGUCACUGUCCACAUACUGGGCCACACCCCCUCCCCUGUUGUUGGUUCAAUUGAUAUAAAGAAGCUCAAAACCUUCAAUAUGGAAAUCAAUACCUUUCUCUUGAUUUAACCAUGUCUCAGAUAAGGCUAUUGAAUUGAAUUUAAGUUUAAAUAUAUUCAAAUUUUCAUUGAUCUUAGUGAAGUUUGCAUAAAGACUUCUACAGUUGACACACUGCUGACCGACCUUCCUUCUUGUUGCUAGCCUUGAGUCAGGUGGUAUGUAUUGAGACAGUAUGUCCCAAUGACCCGCCUGAUGGCGUGCAAUGACCAAUUGGACAGCGCGUGCUACCCAGCUGAUAGUGCCGAUUAGACAAAUUCAAUCAUCUCUCUUAAAUCAGAAGUAAGAAGAAACUUUGGAAAUAAGUGAAGAUCUAAGGCGGGGAAACUGGUAUCAUUAAUAUUAAUGUGUUGGUCAGUUGUACCACCAUGGAUAAUCCCAGAACCUGAAGUCAAUCUAUGCAUACUGAAUAAUAACAAAAGAUAGAAAUCAGGAGAUAUAGUCAAGGAAGUGAAGUCUCAUCUGCAACAAGGAUGGAGUUCAUAUUUACAGAAUACAGAUGGAUCAAAGGAUCCAGAGAGCGGGAAAGUGGCAUUUGGAGUCAUUAAGAAUUCAAAACAGACAUAUCAGAUGUCAGUAUUCACAGCAGAGAUGUUGACAAUAUUAAUGUGCACUUUGGUGGAUAAAGAACAAUAAACCAGACAACUCAGUCAUAUGUAGUGAUUCAGCUGCAGCUUUAACUACAAUAAGAGAAAUCAAAUCCAAGUUCAGACCUGAUAUAUUGGCUGAGAUUUAUCAAACAUUAUAC